GACGAACGCUGGCGGCGUGCUUAACACAUGCAAGUCGAACGGAAAGGCCCUGCUUUUGUGGGGUGCUCGAGUGGCGAACGGGUGAGUAACACGUGAGUAACCUGCCCUUGACUUUGGGAUAACUUCAGGAAACUGGGGCUAAUACCGGAUAGGAGCUCCUGCUGCAUGGUGGGGGUUGGAAAGUUUCGGCGGUUGGGGAUGGACUCGCGGCUUAUCAGCUUGUUGGUGGGGUAGUGGCUUACCAAGGCUUUGACGGGUAGCCGGCCUGAGAGGGUGACCGGCCACAUUGGGACUGAGAUACGGCCCAGACUCCUACGGGAGGCAGCGGUGGGGAAUAUUGCACAACGGGCGGAAGCCUGAUGCAGCAACGCAGCGUGCGGGAUGACGGCCUUCGGGUUGUAAACCGCUGUCGCCUGUGACGAAGCGUGAGUGACGGUAAUGGGUAAAGAAGCACCGGCUAACUACGUG
rnacentral:rRNA from 1 species